UUUGCUUUAUUUUCCACAAUU
rnacentral:piRNA from 1 species